CCGGAUCAAGUACGAGGUCGGAGCGGUUGUUUUCCGUUGUUCCGUACGCCACGGUCGAGGGAGGAACUGGGCCCGGAGGGGGUUGGGGAAGUGGCCCAAACCUGCCAGCCAACCUAGCCCCCGGGUCCAGCCUCCGCCUGAGACCCAUCUUGGUCCUCAGCGUUCUACACGUUUCUGCUUCCCCCUUCCCCCAGUUCCGUCGGGAAGUCGGAAUCUCCAGAUCUGCUUCUCUGUAUAGGACUGUCGGUGAUCCGGCUGGAGACCUUGAGGUAAAUCAGCAUCAGUCUAGGGGCUUUGGUGCCCUGACUCGGAUCCAUGGAUUCAAGGAACCUGGAGACCCACAUCCCAGCUAUUCCUGUGAACCUGCCCAAGACCUCAAAUACUUCUUCAGGAAGGUGAUCCCCAAGCCAAGUGACAACCGCAUUGAUAAGUAAACUCUCACUUUGACAUUAAUUUCUUUGGGGCUCUCCGGGUAACAAAAGCAAGAUAAGUGACAGUAGGCUGGGAGCCCAUAUUUGCUACUGGGCUCUUGUUUACUGCAGGAUUUCUUUUAAUGCUACUUGCAUUCCGGUUGCUUCCUAAAUUAGAACUCUGAUUGAUGUCAUUAUGAAGUUAUUAGUCACCCUAACUUUUCUCCGCCUCCUUUGGGGAUUCAUGUCAGGGGAGUGAGGAUCCAACGCAGUAGUAAAUCUCUCAAGAAUUAUUGCUCAGGGAGAGAAUCUGUCUCAGUGCUGGGUCUACCAUCCCAAUCCUCAAAGCAACGCCUAUAAGCUUAAAGAACUAAGCUACACACCCAGUAAUGACCUUGAACUUACUCUGGCUGAAGGUCCUGCGACCCCUGCUCCCCUCAGAGUCCACAUCCAGCUCUUGGCCUAGCUUCCAUGCCUGGACCUGACCCCUCUCGUUAGUGCAUCCAGCACACAAAGCUCCCCCCAUGAAAGCAUAUUUGUCUUCUACUCUGUCAUAAAGGUAACUCAUCUUGCUGCCCAUGCCAGAAGCCUGGAACUAAAUUCUGCAAUGC